GGACAAGAAAAGCAUGCUCACAAAGUUGUGUAGGCUCACUCUGCGCACGGUGUGAUAGUUGCAAUAUCAAUUAUGCUCCCCAGCUUCCAAGAAACAGCUGACCACAAGGAUGAAACUUGUGUGGGAGGAAGAGGGAGCUUGUUGGCAGCUGGCCUCAGAUGCAGGAGUCGCUGCCACAGGAGGACAGAGAGAAGAACAUGAGUGCCUCAGAGACAAAAACUCCAUGCUGCAGCAGGUCCAGAUAACCAGGAGUUGGACUGGCACAGGACACAGCCACAAUGUCAGCUAAAUGGGAUUGCUGCCUGCAUAGAUUUGGCCUUUAGAAAUGUUUGAAUGAACACAAGAAAAUGGGAAUUAAAUUAUAUAAACCAUUUAAUAUCUGUUAUAUUUUUUGACUUUUAAAAAGUAAAAAAUGUGUUCUUCUACCAUUCACAGGUCAUCUCAUUUUGCAUGAAGAUUUAUCAAAUAAAAAACUAUACCAAACAAUAGAUCUCUGAAAA
rnacentral:lncRNA from 1 species